rnacentral:rRNA from 1 species
CGAGUGAAGUGGGAAAAGCUCAACUUUGUAAUCUGGCUCUUUCAGAGUCCGAGUUGUAGUCUCGAGAAGCAACAUCCGCAUCGGACCUUGGGUAUGUCUGUUGGAAAACAGCGUCGUAGAGGGUGACAAUCCCGUUUGUACCAAGGACGACCGCGUGCAUUGUGGUGUGCUUUCCAAGAGUCGAGUUGUUUGGGAAUGCAGCUCAAAUCGGGUGGUAAAUUCCAUCUAAAGCUAAAUAUUGGCGAGAGACCGAUAGCGAACAAGUACCGUGAGGGAAAGAUGAAAAGCACUUUGGAAAGAGAAUGAAACAGUAUGUGAAAUUGCUGGAAGGGAAACGAUUGAAGUUAGACUUGCGUGGGCCCCACUCAGCCUUUUUGGUGUACUUGGGGCCCGUUGCAGGCCAGCAUCGGUUUGCUUCGCGGAAUAAGGGUGCGCGGGAUGUAGCUUCUUUUGAAGUGUUAUAAACGCGCACUGGAUGCCGAGUCGCAGACCGAGGAACGCAGCGUGUUUGUAGUGCCUGCAGGUACCGAGCGCUUAGG